GUUUGAUCCUGGCUCAGGAUGAACGCUAGCGGCAGGCUUAAUACAUGCAAGGCGAGGGGGCAGCAAUGUCACCGUCGUACGGGUGCGUAACGCGUAUGCAACCUACCUAUCACUGGGGGAUAGCCCGGGGAAACCCGGAUUAAUACCGCAUAAUACAUUUGGGCCACCUGGUUUGAUUUGUUAAAGAUUUAUUGGUGAUAGAUGGGCAUGCGUUCGAUUAGC
rnacentral:rRNA from 1 species